UACGUAGGGGGCGAGCGUUGUCCGGAUUCAUUGGGCGUAAAGCGCGCGUAGGCGGCCCCGCAAGUCGGCCGUGAAAUCUCCCGGCUCAACUGGGAGGGGGCUGUUCAGACGGCGUGGCUUGAGGCUCGGAGGGGGGCGUGGAAUUCCGGGUGGAGCGGUGAAAUGCGUAGAGAUCCGGAGGAACACCGACGGCGAAGGCAGCGCCCUGGACGAGACCUGACGCUCAGGCACGAAAGCUGGGGGAGCAAACAGG
rnacentral:rRNA from 1 species